rnacentral:rRNA from 1 species
UACGUAGGGACCAAGCGUUGUUCGGAUUUACUGGGCGUAAAGGGCGCGUAGGCGGCAUGACAAGUCACUUGUGAAAUCUCCGGGCUUAACUCGGAACGGUCAAGUGAUACUGUCGCGCUAGAGUGCGGAAGGGGCAAUCAGAAUUCUUGGUGUAGCGGUGAAAUGCGUAGAUAUCAAGAGGAAUACCUGAGGUGAAGACGGGUGCUAGGCCGACACUGACGCUGAAGCGCGAAGCCAGGGAGCAAACAGG